AAAAAAAAAGGAGGGAAAUUAAAUGCUAAAAAGGCGGAAAAAAGAAGCAUAUGAAAGUUUUCGUUUGCCCUGCCCAAGUACUUAAACCACAGAUUUUUUAAGUUUUAGCCUCUUCCCUUAAGCCUAAUGCUCCAUUCCUUCUCCAAUCCAAUUACUUCCCAAUAUUAAGCUUUGUGGGGUUCUCUUCUCGCCCUUUGCAAAAUUUCCAUGGAGUUUUAAUGGAGCGUUGUCGGUAGGAACUCUAAGAGAGGAGGGUUUGGCUGCUCUAAGAGUUUUCCUCUUCUUCUUCAACCCUUGUCUUCAACCGAGGUAGACAUUUCUCAGCCCUUUUUCUCCAACACUCUAUUUCGACUUUUCUUUUCUUUUGCUUCCAAGAUAGAAAUUUCUCAACUCCAAAGUUUAAUCGAAAUCUCAUUUAUCAGACACCAAUUCUAAAGGUAUGGUUAUAAAAUUUGAAUGUUUUUCUCCAACCUCUGUUUCAACUUUUCUUUUCUUUUGCUUCCAAGAUAGAAAUUUCUCAUCUCCAAAGUUUAUUCGAAAUCUCAUCUAUCAGACACCAAUUCUAAAGAACAAAUGCCUCAUUUUCGAAGUGUUGCCGACGCCAUUUCCUAGAUUGUUGACCUUAAAAAUGUCUAGAAAAACAAUUGUACACCUCUUCCGACGUUAUGGUUGGGGUGUCGAGAGAAAGCACUUAUCUAUGGAUGGAGGCAUUGGAUUAGAAAAAACGGUCCGACGCUUUAUUAAUAUUCCGUUGGGAGAACUGACUUUGGCCGAUGCUUAGAAAAGAUGUUGGGAUAGGGUUUUUAAAACCCUCUCAUUUUUUCCUUGGCUGCCGUCCCUCUCCAAAUUUUCAUUUCCCCCUUUCUGAUCUACAAACCCACUCCUCCGCCUACCCCAGCCACCCACUCCCCCACUCUCCCUUUCCCUUUCCCGUUCUUUUCCUACCCCAGCCGUCACUCUCUUUCCCUUCAUCCCCUUUCUUUUUUCACCACCAAAUCUUUUGCUUCCUCUAUCUCAGCCUCCUCAACCAAAACCCUAAAACAAGCUGCUGCUUUGUAGCCUUUACCUCCAUCCAGCUUAGGGUUUUUGUCCUCCUCUUCCCUAGGAUCCAACGCUCUCAAAGUUGUUUGUAUUGGUGGUGCUAAUGCCGUCGGCUCAACUUUGGGUGUUCGCAUGGUCUCCGUCGACUUAACCUCGUUCGAUUUUGAUACAUCUGUCUUCAAGAAGGAGAAAGUUAAUCUCGUUGGCCAUGAUGAGGUAUCUCGAGAUUUUUGUUCAAGAUGAAUCUUCGGACGAACAUAGUUAGGUUGUAAAUUUGUAUUUUGUGUUUUAUGUUUUGUGGAUAUUAUGUAACGCUAUUUUGAUGCUUAUGUUUUGUGGAGAUAAUGUAAUCUUAUUUUGGGGUUUAUGUUUUGUGGAUAUUAUAUAAUGUUUAAGAUUUUUUUCGUUACCUUUUGGGCUUUCUGCCAUAGUCUUAUAUAUAC